UACGAAGGGGGCUAGCGUUGUUCGGAAUUACUGGGCGUAAAGGGCUCGUAGGCGGCCAACUAAGUCGGACGUGAAAUCCCUCAGCUUAACUGGGGAACUGCGUCCGAUACUGGAUGGCUUGGAUUUGGGAGAGGGAUGCGGAAUUCCAGGUGUAGCGGUGAAAUGCGUAGAUAUCUGGAGGAACACCGGUGGCGAAGGCGGCAUCCUGGACCAACAUUGACGCUGAGGAGCGAAAGCCAGGGGAGCAAACGGG
rnacentral:rRNA from 1 species